GCAUACUCACUUCGAGGCGUUCUUCCACUACCGGUCCAAUGUUCCUAGAAGGCAAUGCAAUUUGUGGACAAGCCCAUGAAACCCAAAGGUGAAAAAGGGAAACAGGUUUACACAGACAGCCCUUCCUGCCACGUCUCCAGACAUUCCUGCUGGAAUCUAAUCACCUUUGUCUUUAACCAGGCUUCCUGCCCACAUCUUACCAGUUCUGUUCUAGCAGCAAAGUUUGCUUUACUUUCCUGAGGAUACGCACGUGCACCCUGGAUCUCAUCUCCACAUGCAGGGUGGUGGGUCCCUUCCAUUUCUAUUUCCUGGCUCAUCACCUGUCUUCAUGCUUGGGACUACCUUUCUGUUGAAGGCCCACCUAUGGCUUCCCAUGGACCAAUCAGCACGUACUUCCUCACUUCUGAAUCCAUAAAAAUCCCUGACUCAGCUAGACUCCAUGCUCUUUGGGACGACCUG